rnacentral:rRNA from 1 species
UACAGAGGGUGCGAGCGUUGUUCGGAAUUAUUGGGCGUAAAGGGCGCGUAGGCGGCGCCACAAGUCACUUGUGAAAACUCUGGGCUCAACUCAGAGCCUGCAAGCGAAACUGUGGUGCUGGAGUAUGGGAGAGGUGCGUGGAAUUCCCGGUGUAGCGGUGAAAUGCGUAGAUAUCUGGAGGAAUACCGGUGGCGAAGGCGGCAUCCUGGACCGACAUUGACGCUGAACGGCGAAAGCUAGGGGAGCAAACGGG